rnacentral:rRNA from 1 species
UAAGGAAUUUUGGACAAUGGGGGAAACCCUGAUCCAGCCAUACCGCGUGUGUGAAGAAGGCUCUAGGGUUGUAAAGCACUUUAAGCAGGGAAGAAGGGGAUUGAGUUAAUAUCUCAAUCCUUUGACGUUACCUGAAGAAUAAGUACCGGCUAACUCCGUGCCAGCAGCCGCGGUAAUACGGAGGGUACGAGCGUUAAUCGGAAUUACUGGGCGUAAAGCGCGCGUAGGCGGUUUAGUAAGUUGGAUGUGAAAGCCCUGGGCUUAACCUGGGAACUGCGUUCAAAACUACUAAACUGGAGUGCGAGAGAGGGGAGUAGAAUUUCUGGUGUAGCGGUGAAAUGCGCAGAUAUCAGAAGGAAUACCAAUGGCGAAGGCAGCUCCCUGGCUCGUCACUGACGCUAAGGUGCGAAAGCGUGGGUAGCAAACAGG